rnacentral:rRNA from 1 species
UACGUAGGGUGCGAGCGUUAAUCGGAAUUACUGGGCGUAAAGCGUGCGCAGGCGGUUUCACAAGCUAGAUGUGAAAGCCCCGGGCUUAACCUGGGAACUACAUUUAGGACUGUGGAGCUAGAGUGCGGCAGAGGGAGGUGGAAUUCCACGUGUAGCAGUGAAAUGCGUAGAUAUGUGGAGGAACACCGAUGGCGAAGGCAGCCUCCUGGGCCGACACUGACGCUCAUGCACGAAAGCGUGGGGAGCAAACAGG